rnacentral:rRNA from 1 species
UACGGGGGGAGCAAGCGUUGUUCGGAUUUACUGGGCGUAAAGGGCGCGUAGGCGGCCAGCACAAGUCAGUUGUGAAAUCUCCGAGCUUAACUCGGAAAGGUCAACUGAUACUGUGCGGCUAGAGUGCGGAAGGGGCAACUGGAAUUCUUGGUGUAGCGGUGAAAUGCGUAGAUAUCAAGAGGAACACCUGCGGCGAAGGCGGGUUGCUGGGCCGACACUGACGCUGAUGCGCGAAAGCGUGGGUAGCAAACAGG